AUGAAGUACCUAGGUCUCCCCGUCUGCAUAGCUAGGGUUAGGCUAGUCCACCUGCAAUACAUCUUAGACCGUAUCCGUGCAAGGUUAGCAGGUUGGAAGGGGCGGCUACUGCCAAUCGCAGGCCGUCGGGUGCUGGUGCGGUGCGUGCUCUCGGCACUGCCCGCAUUCGCACUCAUGGUGCUGCACGCCCCAAAGAAACUGUUCAAGGAGGUCAACAAGGCGAGGCGGCGAUUCCUGUGGGCGUAGGACGAAGCAAUCGCUGGAGGCAAAUGCAAGGUUAAUUGGCAGGUCGUCACACUACAAAAAAAAUACACUUCCGUGAUGAUACAUGUUUGUCACAGUAGGUCGCAUUUUCUGUCAUGCAUGUAUAUCCAUGACAAUUUUAUGACAGAAUCAAGAUAG
rnacentral:rRNA from 1 species